GGCUGGCUUUACUGUCGUUCUCGAAGUGUCGUCUGACUUGACCGUAGUAAAAAAAAAAAUAGGUUUUAGUUAAAUUGUAUUAUUUAAAAUUUGGGAACAACCAACCCCUAACAUCACGCCCUGUCGAAUCCCCAACAUUUGGUCAGUGUUUGUCAGGGUUAGUUAGUUGGGGUAAGUUAGUGUGAAUAAACAGACCCUGGUCGUCCAUGUGAUGAGGAGGAGGAAGUGAUGCACAUUAAUGUUCACUCAGAGGAAACUGACGCUCUCCUGCUCAGAACCAGAUCUCCCGUUUCAAACUUUGCCCAGAAAAAGAUCUGAACCCAAAAGGAUCAACAGUCACCAAAGAACGAUUGAUCAACCGUCACCAAAGAACGAAGGCUUUCCCCAAAGUGGAGCAAAGUGUUUAUUGUGAUGAAGUCGGUAGCCGGGCGCUAGCUGCAAGCUAGCUGACCAGUACGAGCUGGUUCCAGCGGACUGGUUCCACUGGUCGGUCGGCCUGUAAACCACUGGGUUGGAUCGCGGUUCUGUGAUGCGACUGUAAACCAGCAUCACGUCGUCCAGCAGAUGUCAAGGUCAGCACAAUGCAUCAGGAUAAGAUGACCCGUCCCUUCAUAGUGGCCUGCCUUGUCUGAGGACGGGAUCACCCCCCCGCUCUGCCCCAGGGCCACAGGGCUAUGUGGAGACAUCUCGCCUGGCCAGAGCAGAGGCGUCCAGGGGUUGCAGACGGCGCCUGACGCAGAGUGGGAGACAUGGGCCAGUGUGUCACCAAGUGCAAGAACCCGACCUCCUCCCUGGGCAGCAAGAGCGGAGACAAGGAGGGCGGCUCCAAAGCUCACCACAAGAAGAGCAGCAGCAGCUGCGGCGGCGGGCACAAGGAGGAGACCAGCGCCUUGUGCAGCAAAAGCUCCGGCGAGCUGUCCAAUGGCACAAAGGCCCCGGACGUGUCCCUGGAGACAGCCGUGGUCCCGUCGGUGACCCGGGACCCUCACCGGGAGGAGCCGGCGGCGGACCGAGACGGCCUCUCGCUGGCGCGCAUCGAGCAGCUCUUCUGCGGCUACAAGGACCAGCAGGACGACGCCAUCCUGGAGGAGGGCAUGGAGCGCUUCUGCAACGACCUGCGCGUGGACCCCGCCGAGUUCCGCGUCCUCGUCAUCGCCUGGAAGUUCCAGGCGGCCACCAUGUGCAAGUUUACAAGGAAGGAGUUUGUGGACGGCUGCAAGGCCAUCCAGGCGGACAGCCUGGAGGGCAUCUGCUCCCGCUUCCCCUGCAUGCUGCUGGAGGCCAGGGGGGAGGAGAGCUUCAAGGACCUGUACCGCUUCACCUUCCAGUUCGGCCUGGACGCCGAGGACGGCCAGCGCUCGCUGCAGCGCGACAUCGCCAUCGCCCUGUGGCGGCUGGUGUUCACGCAGGACACGCCCAGCAUCCUGGAGCGCUGGCUGGACUUCCUGGCGGAGAACCCUUCGGGCGUGCGGGGCAUCUCGCGGGACACAUGGAACAUGUUCCUCAACUUCACCCAGGCCGUCGGGUCCGACCUGAGCAACUACAGCGAGGACGAAGCCUGGCCCAGCCUCUUCGACACCUUCGUGGAGUGGGAGACAGAGAGCCGCCGGAGGGAGGGGCAGCAGGGCGGCUGGGGGGGGGCUGAGACCAAGAGCUCGACAGAGGGGGGCGGGGGCUCCCAGACCUUGGGAGGGCACUGACGGGGAUCUGUCAAUCAUUGGAUGAAUAUUAGUAUUACACUUAUGGCUAUUCAUUUCUCCACGGGAUUCCCGUUGUAACCUUAUUUGUUUUGGGUUAUUGAAAGGGCUUUAUGAACGGUUAUAUUGUGAGCAAUUCUAUUAACUUAUUUGACCUUUUUUUGAUUUAAUUUUCUUUUCAUGUGUUUUAAGUAAUUGGGACCUGAGGUGCAUUUUAAUCAUAACUAAUUCAUCCAUUACAAUAAUAAUAAACACAGAUAUGAGCAACGCAGGAAACAAAACAUGCAGGAGGCAAGCCUUUCAUUAACAGCUGGGCUCUUUGAACUGAUGACUGGUUAUUAAGGGCCAAGCAAGGGUCAAGAAGGGACAGUGGAUACUCUCCGCCGUUACAAUACGCUUUCACAUCAUGACUUUAUCCUCCGGGGGUCAGGGUCGGUUAAAGGAGGUCACCAACCUUAUUGUAACAUUGACAGAAGGCACUAGGUAGUACCUAGUGCUACCUAGUGCUACCUAGUAGGUACUACCUGGUACCUAGUGCCUAGUGCUAGCUGGCGGGUGCUACCUGGCGGGUCGCGGUCUGCUUGCACUACCGAGGCAUAAACUAAUGUUCCACAUUUCAUCAUGAGAAAAUUAUUUUUAGGAUGAUGUCAUUUGCACGUUUUAGUCAUUGAUUAAGGAUUUUGCCCUAGAGAAUUUAUUUUAAAACGCCCCAACCUCGUCCCCCAAUCUGUAUCAGUGAAUGCUGCGGACGUUUAGUGCUGAGAAAGGCCGUGUCCCAGCCGUGACUAAAGCCAUGUACCAGUUCCACCUCUGAAGCACACCUUUUGAUGCUCACUGAUUGCCAGGUUGCGGAAAAGGUGUACUAUUAUUAAAACGUGCAGGAAUUCUGGCUUUAUUUUCAUGAGCUGCCUUAUUUUAUUUCUUGGAACAUCAGAACAAUUCAUGCUAGGUUUGUCAUUUCUUGAAAUAGGAAUCUUGCAGCAGGGUUAGGUUAGGAUAAGGACAUUUGGGUCAACCUCCCCUUUGACCUCAUCUUGGAUUUUCUUGUAGCAUCUUCAACUGCUAUCUAGUAUUGUGGCACUUGAGGAAUGCGUUGACUCGUCAGUGUUGGUUGUAAUAAAUUAAUGCACCAAAACGAAUGGCCUGAUAAGUCACCGUAUAUGUAAUGCUUUGCAAAGAGUGAUGUCAGCUGAACUCUAAAGUGUAUAAACUUAAACAGCCUAGGAUGUUUUGGAAGUGAUUGUUAACCAGGUUGUUUGACUUACCAUGAGUCUAACUAGGUCCAGUAUGGUAAUGGAUACCCAUUACUUUAUUACCUUAUAACCACUUUACAGUGGUUUCGAUUCAGACCCCUUUGUCCUUUUUAUAUCAAAUGCAUUGGUUUAUAAUGAAUAAAACAGUGUUCAACUUUUAAAAGCGGACCAUGGAAUUUCUGCUGUCUUUGCAUGUCGCAUCCAAACUGAAGACCUGUGACUCUUGCCUCCUUAAUAUUAUCGCUUAAUACCUCUAAAGCAUUAUGAUUAGAUGAACCCUGCCUCUCUAAAGCAUUUCUCUCCGUUGUAGAUCAGCAGUUGUUUGGGUUGUGAGCAGAGCAGGGGGCGUGUCAGGAGCAAGGGGCGUGUCUGGUCCGGCUUCGGCUCGCUAUUGGCAGAUGGCUUGCCUGGUAACCAACCAACGCUAACAACAACACGGUGCAAAUUAAAUUACAUUCUCCAGAACGACACGAAAAUAACGAAUAAUAAUUUUAAAAAAAUACUUCGCAUAAUGGGGAAAUGGUCAGGAAUAAUGACCGACACUGAAGAACGGUAAGCAUCAUCCAUCAGCUAACACAACCCUGAAGAACGGUGGCUCACUCUGGAUGAUGGGUCCCUGAACAUCAUCUAACCCCAACCCUACUAUGGAUAGCGAGGUAGGCCGGCAAUGUUUUUCUAAAUACAUUUUGUAUUACGUUUGAAACUGCAAGUGGGCAAACAGGAAAAUUUUUACUUGGCACAUUACUUUAUAUGAGGCAUUAUCAAAUUAUGCUUCCAAUAUAUUUUGAAUGGGUCUAUUCUCUCUCCCUUCUGUAUGAAGUAGUGUCCACUCUGCUCUUCUUUAAACCUUCUUCUUUUGGCUCAGGUGCUGUAGCCUGUCACACUGAGUAAGACAUCUGUCAUUCCCUUUGUCUUCUGCAUGCCGUCCGUCAUUGCUUGUGUUACAGAGAGUCCUUCUGUAUUACAGACAUGCCUAUCUUUGCUUGAAUAAUCAAUGUUGCAUGUAACACAAUCCUGGCUGAACACAUUAUGGCCAAGACUUCCCCUGUUCACUGAUGGCUGCUGUGUAUGCGGUUACAUGGUUGAUUAAUAGCAUCCAUCCAGCACAAUACAUGAGAGUAAGGAAACCAAAGCACUACACAUCUGCUGGACCUUCUCAUACGGAGCCUGCAAAGCCUCAAGCCUCUUAUGGGGAAGUUUAGAGCCUCGUAUGAGACCGCCUAAAGCCUCAUAUCGAUACUGCCUAAAGCCUCUUAUCGAGACCGCCUAGAGCCUCGUAUGAG